GAUCAUGGCUCAGGACGAACGCUGGCGGCGUGCCUAACACAUGCAAGUCGAACGGAACUGUUUUUGAAAGAUUUCUUCGGAAUGAAUUUGAUUUAGUUUAGUGGCGGACGGGUGAGUAACGCGUGAGUAACCUGCCUUCAAGAGGGGGAUAACAUUCUGAAAAGAAUGCUAAUACCGCAUGAUAUAUCGGAACCACAUGGUUUUGAUAUCAAAGAUUUUAUCGCUUGAAGAUGGACUCACGUCCG
rnacentral:rRNA from 1 species